AGGGCGCACGGUGGAUGCCUUGGCACUAGGAGCCGAUGAAGGACGGGACGAACACCGAUAUGCUUCGGGGAGCUGUAAGCAAGCUUUGAUCCGGAGAUUUCCGAAUGGGGAAACCCACCACUCGUAAUGGAGUGGUAUCCAUAUCUGAAUACAUAGGAUAUGAGAAGGCAGACCCGGGGAACUGAAACAUCUAAGUACCCGGAGGAAGAGAAAGCAAAUGCGAUUCCCUGAGUAGCGGCGAGCGAAACGGGACCAGCCCAAACCAAGAGGCUUGCCUCUUGGGGUUGUAGGACACUCUGUACGGAGUUACAAAGGAACGAGGUAGAUGAAGAGGUCUGGAAAGGCCCGCCAUAGGAGGUAACAGCCCUGUAGUCAAAACUUCGUUCUCUCCUGAGUGGAUCCUGAGUACGGCGGAACACGUGAAAUUCCGUCGGAAUCCGGGAGGACCAUCUCCCAAGGCUAAAUACUCCCUAGUGACCGAUAGUGAACCAGUACCGUGAGGGAAAGGUGAAAAGCACCCCGGAAGGGGAGUGAAAGAGAUCCUGAAACCGUGUGCCUACAAGUAGUCAGAGCCCGUUAACGGGUGAUGGCGUGCCUUUUGUAGAAUGAACCGGCGAGUUACGAUCCCGUGCAAGGUUAAGCAGAAGAUGCGGAGCCGCAGCGAAAGCGAGUCUGAAUAGGGCGAAUUGAGUACGUGGUCGUAGACCCGAAACCAGGUGAUCUACCCAUGUCCAGGGUGAAGUUCAGGUAACACUGAAUGGAGGCCCGAACCCACGCACGUUGAAAAGUGCGGGGAUGAGGUGUGGGUAGGGGUGAAAUGCCAAUCGAACCUGGAGAUAGCUGGUUCUCUCCGAAAUAGCUUUAGGGCUAGCCUCAAGGUAAGAGUCUCGGAGGUAGAGCACUGAUUGGACUAGGGGCCCCUACCGGGUUACCGAAUUCAGUCAAACUCCGAAUGCCGAUGACUUAUCCUUGGGAGUCAGACUGCGAGUGAUAAGAUCCGUAGUCGAAAGGGAAACAGCCCAGACCGCCAGCUAAGGUCCCAAAGUAUACGUUAAGUGGAAAAGGAUGUGGAGUUGCUUAGACAACCAGGAUGUUGGCUUAGAAGCAGCCACCAUUUAAAGAGUGCGUAAUAGCUCACUGGUCGAGUGACUCUGCGCCGAAAAUGUACCGGGGCUAAACGUAUCACCGAAGCUGCGGACUGUUCUUCGAACAGUGGUAGGAGAGCGUUCUAAGGGCUGUGAAGCAAGACCGGAAGGACUUGUGGAGCGCUUAGAAGUGAGAAUGCCGGUAUGAGUAGCGAAAGAGGGGUGAGAAUCCCCUCCACCGAAUGCCUAAGGUUUCCUGAGGAAGGCUCGUCCGCUCAGGGUUAGUCGGGACCUAAGCCGAGGCCGAAAGGCGUAGGCGAUGGAUAACAGGUUGAUAUUCCUGUACCACCUCCUCACCAUUUGAGCAAUGGGGGGACGCAGGAGGAUAGGGUAAGCGCGGUAUUGGAUAUCCGCGUCCAAGCAGUUAGGCUGGGAAAUAGGCAAAUCCGUUUCCCGUGAAGGCUGAGCUGUGAUGGCGAGCGAAUUAUAGUAGCGAAGUUCCUGAUUCCACACUGCCAAGAAAAGCCUCUAGCGAGGUGAGAGGUGCCCGUACCGCAAACCGACACAGGUAGGCGAGGAGAGAAUCCUAAGGUGAUCGAGAGAACUCUCGUUAAGGAACUUGGCAAAAUGACCCCGUAACUUCGGGAGAAGGGGUGCUCUGUUAGGGUGAAAGCCCGAGAGAGCCGCAGUGAAUAGGCCCAGGCGACUGUUUAGCAAAAACACAGGUCUCUGCGAAGCCGUAAGGCGAAGUAUAGGGGCUGACGCCUGCCCGGUGCUGGAAGGUUAAGAGGAGCGCUUAGCGUAAGCGAAGGUGCGAAUUGAAGCCCCAGUAAACGGCGGCCGUAACUAUAACGGUCCUAAGGUAGCGAAAUUCCUUGUCGGGUAAGUUCCGACCCGCACGAAAGGCGCAACGAUCUGGGCACUGUCUCAACGAGAGACUCGGUGAAAUUAUAGUACCUGUGAAGAUGCAGGUUACCCGCGACAGGACGGAAAGACCCCGUGGAGCUUUACUGCAGCCUGAUAUUGAAUGUUGGUACAGCUUGUACAGGAUAGGUAGGAGCCUUGGAAACCGGAGCGCCAGCUUCGGUGGAGGCAUCGGUGGGAUACUACCCUGGCUGUAUUGACCUUCUAACCCGCCGCCCUUAUCGGGCGGGGAGACAGUGUCAGGUGGGCAGUUUGACUGGGGCGGUCGCCUCCUAAAAGGUAACGGAGGCGCCCAAAGGUUCCCUCAGAAUGGUUGGAAAUCAUUCGCAGAGUGUAAAGGCACAAGGGAGCUUGACUGCGAGACCUACAAGUCGAGCAGGGACGAAAGUCGGGCUUAGUGAUCCGGUGGUUCCGCAUGGAAGGGCCAUCGCUCAACGGAUAAAAGCUACCCCGGGGAUAACAGGCUUAUCUCCCCCAAGAGUCCACAUCGACGGGGAGGUUUGGCACCUCGAUGUCGGCUCAUCGCAUCCUGGGGCUGUAGUCGGUCCCAAGGGUUGGGCUGUUCGCCCAUUAAAGCGGUACGCGAGCUGGGUUCAGAACGUCGUGAGACAGUUCGGUCCCUAUCCGUCGCGGGCGCAGGAAAUUUGAGAGGAGCUGUCCUUAGUACGAGAGGACCGGGAUGGACGCACCGCUGGUGUACCAGUUGUUCUGCCAAGGGCAUCGCUGGGUAGCUAUGUGCGGACGGGAUAAGUGCUGAAAGCAUCUAAGCAUGAAGCCCCCCUCAAGAUGAGAUUUCCCAUUCCGCAAGGAAGUAAGAUCCCUGAAAGAUGAUCAGGUUGAUAGGUCUGAGGUGGAAGUGUGGCGACACAUGGAGCUGACAGAUACUAAUCGAUCGAGGACUUAACC
rnacentral:rRNA from 1 species